CGUCCUUUAUCUUUUUGUAAAUCUGUAAAUGGUUACAAAUUAAGAAAUGGGAAGCUUUCUUAUACUACUGCAAGAGAAAUUCUGUUAUCUACUUUAACAUCUAUUGGAUUAGACAAAAAGUAUUUUGGUUUACAUAGUUUGAGGUCCGGAGGCGCCACUGCUGCUGCAAACGCGCAUGUGGAAGAUCGAAUCUUCAAAAAAC
rnacentral:lncRNA from 1 species